GAUGAACGCUGGCGGCGUGCCUAAUACAUGCAAGUCGAGCGAACAGAUAAGGAGCUUGCUCCUUUGACGUUAGCGGCGGACGGGUGAGUAACACGUGGGUAACCUACCUAUAAGACUGGAAUAACUCCGGGAAACCGGGGCUAAUGCCGGAUAACAUUUAGAACCGCAUGGUUCUAAAGUGAAAGAUGGUUUUGCUAUCACUUAUAGAUGGACCCGCGCCGUAUUAGCUAGUUGGUAAGGUAACGGCUUACCAAGGCAACGAUACGUAGCCGACCUGAGAGGGUGAUCGGCCACACUGGAACUGAGACACGGUCCAGACUCCUACGGGAGGCAGCAGUAGGGAAUCUUCCGCAAUGGGCGAAAGCCUGACGGAGCAACGCCGCGUGAGUGAUGAAGGUCUUCGGAUCGUAAAACUCUGUUAUUAGGGAAGAACAAAUGUGUAAGUAACUGUGCACGUCUUGACGGUACCUAAACAGAAAACCACGGCUAACUACGU
rnacentral:rRNA from 1 species